rnacentral:rRNA from 1 species
CCUACGGGUGGCAGCAGUGAGGAAUAUUGGUCAAUGGGCGAGAGCCUGAACCAGCCAAGUCGCGUGAAGGAUGACGGCUCUAUGGGUUGUAAACUUCUUUUAUCUGGGAAUAAAGUGAGGAACGUGUUCCGUUUUGUAUGUACCAUAUGAAUAAGCAUCGGCUAACUCCGUGCCAGCAGCCGCGGUAAUACGGAGGAUGCGAGCGUUAUCCGGAUUUAUUGGGUUUAAAGGGUGCGUAGGUGGGUAAUUAAGUCAGCUGGGAAAGUUUGUGGCUCAACCAUAAAAUUGCCGUUGAAACUGGUUGUCUUGAGUAUAUGUGAGGUAGGCGGAAUGCGUGGUGUAGCGGUGAAAUGCAUAGAUAUCACGCAGAACUCCGAUUGCGAAGGCAGCUUACUAAACUAUAACUGACACUGAAGCACGAAAGCGUGGGGAUCAAACAGGAUUAGAUACCCGUGUAGUC